rnacentral:lncRNA from 1 species
CCGAGUCGGGAUUCUGCUCUAAUGACCCUCUGUCAUCCCUGAACAAUCUGGGAGAGAGUCGGGGCUGCGGCUGCAGCGCUGCCCAGAGAGUUUCAGGCAGGUCGCGGCGCGUGAAGAGGACGGUGAGGGGUCAAAGUCCGCUAGCUAUGCAUCUCCCAGUACCUCCAGAUCUCAGGGCAACAGAGGAUGUGACAAAGUCACCGAGUGCUCCCGAGGGGCAACACGCGGGACAGUAGAGAUGGAUCUCAGGCUCCGGCCUGAGCCAGAGACAAAGGCCCCGCCAAAUGCUGGAAGCCACGCCCUCCUCCCCAACUGCGUGCCUGAUAGGACGGUUCCUACUCUGACAGAUUGAAUAAGGCUCCAGGACCCUCCCCCACACCCACCGUCCCCAGCAUUAGUGCGCUUUAUGGACAGGGAAACAGGAUCCUGUAGGCGGAGUCACACGCCCCGGGUAUCACAGCUAAUUAAGAAGUGAGCUGAGCCUUGAAAUGCACUUGCUUUUUCCCUUACCUGGGUCUGCUUGUAUAAUACAUCUUAUUAGCUAUUUAAAAGUAGAAAGUAGAACAAUUGGACACCUUUUUAACAACUUUCUAAUCAUUUGGAUAAUGCAGGAAAGACCCUUAUCCCAUCCCU